rnacentral:tRNA from 1 species
GGUUUGGUGGUUCAGUGGUAGAAUGCUCACGUUUGGGGUAGGAGACCAAGGUUCGAUUCCUGGCCAACGCA